UUUAAGUGUGAGUUGGCCGUACGGGUGCGAGCAGCGGACAGGAGAAAGUCUCGGGCAGAGCGGAGAGACCGAGAAGGGGCAUACCUAUGGAUCAGUGAAGAGAUAUAAGAGGGGCUUUAUUACUCAGUGCUUUAUAGGUAUGGGUUAGCACUUUGAAUUGACUCCUAUAGGAUACAGGAAGCCAAUGUAAGGACUAACAGAGAGGUGAGGUGUGAGAGGACCGACUAGAGAGGAAAAUCAGUCUGGCGGCAGCAUUCAUUACAGACUGUAGUGGGGCAAUAUGGCUUUUGGGAAGACCAAUUAGGAGAGGGUUACAAUAAUCCCUACGGGAAAUUACGAGAGCAUGGACAA